rnacentral:rRNA from 1 species
UACGAAGGGUGCAAGCGUUACUCGGAAUUACUGGGCGUAAAGCGUGCGUAGGUGGUUUGUUAAGUCUGCUGUGAAAGCCCCGGGCUCAACCUGGGAAUGGCAGUGGAUACUGGCAAGCUAGAGUGCGGUAGAGGGGUGUGGAAUUCCCGGUGUAGCGGUGAAAUGCGUAGAGAUGUGGAGGAAUACCGAUGGCGAAGGCAGCCCCCUGGGAUGACACUGACGCUCAGGCACGAAAGCGUGGGGAGCAAACAGG